CAAAAGGAACAAUUGAUUGAACUGGAGAUCAACGGUUAGGGAAGGGUUUUAGGUCCUCAGUAUAAUAUGCUUAACAAGAUUUCCCUAUUAAAACACUGGUAAGCCAAGUUACUGAAAAAAAAACCUUUUAGUCCUAUUAAAGAUUUGCUAUAUAUAAGAUGCAGGCAAAAACUCAUAGUAGGAAAAUUUUAGUUGAAGGUCAUGUUUUUAGAUCGCUUUAUUUUAUUUUUCUUUUCGAGUGUGGAAGUUAUUAGUCGUCAUAUUGUACCACUAGCUCUAAGUUGGCACCACGUGGAACAUUUGCAUUCUUCCCACUUGACUGAUGCUAUAUAUCGUUAUGGUGAUUAUCAUCGAUCUAGAUGACAGUGACAAUCCCUGCAAUUCUUUCAAUGUUGUACCUAUUGUCUUCGCUUGGGUCGUAAAAAUCUCUUUCUAUACCUUCAUUGAUUGGAUGUUAGACAACGUAUUUCCUAAGUUAGCAUUUUAUUUUUGCACUUCAGUAUAAUAAAUUCUUCACACGAGUGGUUUGAUUGAAGAAGAAUACCCUUAUCCUCUUUUAAAUUUUCCUUUAAUAAUUUAGUGAUGUUUGGAAUGUUACCGUACACAAAUUAGAGAUUUUGAAAUCGUUGAAGAUCUUGUUUUCUAAUGGCACGUGGCAAACGAAGAGGAGUCAAGAUAGAUAUUUGUCUCGUGGGAGGCCCUUACGGUUCCUAAAGGGUACUUAAAAUGAAGUUUUGGGAUUUUGCUUCCCUACGAAAGUGAUGUAGAGAUUUAGGGUUAACAGAUUUUUUUGUGCCACUUGUAAGCUUCCUAUUGGUCUUUUGUAAUUAUAAAAUUGUAAUUAUAUAUGUAAUUUUUCAAACAAAUUCCAUUUUCCGUAAAGUAUUUUAGUCGUUCCAUAUAUUUUUAUUCGUCCAAAUCAACACAGGAAAAGAUUAUUGAACAUUUCAUUUGAUGAAAGAUCAUUUAUAAUAGCUCUAGCAACAAGAAAUACGUAAAUCAAAAUAACCAACUUUUGAGUGAACUAAUUAGUUAUUUGUAUGUAACUUUCUUGUGCAUGAGCUUGUUGUUAAACUCCCUCUUGCAUUGCGUUUGGUAUAUUUCUAACUCACUUAAAAGAACUUAUUUGUUUGUUUGACUCAUCUGAUCAUCAUCAAUCACUUCUCUCUAUGAGGUGCAUCAAUAGAUGUCAUUCUCUAUUAUAAGUUUUAAGUUCAACUUCAACUAGAAAUUUGAAAAUCCUUCCGUUUUCUUUUUCUUAUACUCAUCCUCUUCCUAAGUUCAAGAACAGCCUCUAAAGAUUAAUUAGACUGGUAUUCUUAAAAGAAAAUACACCUUCAAUAAUUGUGUUAUUUGAAAUUCUCCUAAUAUUAGAAUUAACAACCUACUUUUUAUGAAUGCUAUUAUGGUGGAUCUCUUCAAUUUUCCAAAUUUGUUUAGAAUUUUUAGUGUUGUGUUUAACCUUCAUUCGGCUCAAUAUACAUAUAAAAAAGAUAGUUUGGCAUACUUAAUAUUCAUUUGUUUUUGAAGUGCUGGCCAUCGCUACUGAUUGACCAAGUGCCAUUAAAGGCAUUUUUGUGGAUCUCUUCAAUUUUCAAUAUUUGUUUGGAAUUUUUUAUGUUGUCCUUAACUAUCUUUUGGCUCAAUAUACAUAUAAAAAAAAGGGUUUUAGAUUAGGCAGAAUAUUUAUUGGUUUUUGAAGUGAUGGCCUUUGCUUAGUGCUUGGCCAAGUGCCUGAUUAAAAGGAAUUUUUUCUUUUUAUAUCAACUGUCAUACUAUCACAAAUUUUAGUUCAUUAAUCAUGUCCAGUACAGCUUAUAGUUGGAACAUAUUUAUGAUGUUUAAUAAAAAAUCCUCACCAUUCUUGAAGAUAUCUGUGGGUUAGUCAUCUUUUAGCUAAAUGAGCUCGUCAAUGGAAGCUGCAAGACCACUGGUUUCUUUUGGAGGUUGAAAGUUGACAUCAUUGAGUUAUUUGGAAGACAUUAUGAAUGAAAAAGAGUGGUGCAUUAUUUUUGUUUGGUUAAUGGUGAAGAUAAUGGAUGAAUUUGUCUACAAGUGACAUAAGAAUAUCCAGUUGGGAUCAAAGAAUAGAAUGCGGAGAAAAACCAAGAAAGAUGAGAAG
rnacentral:lncRNA from 1 species